CUGAAGUCCACAGUCCUUACUCUGCUGCUCUCCAUCCUUCCUUUCCUUAGUAUCCUUAACUCAAAUGUUUUGUGAUUACUACUGCCCAAGUUGCCAUCCACUACUACAUUCCCCACCAAUUCUUCUGUUUGGGAGCAGCAACUCAAGAAGAGCAUGGCCCUUAGUUAGCCACUCCAGCACUUCUGCCAGGAAGUUGUGCCCAAUACUCUCCAAAAGCUUCCUGGAUUGCCUGUGCAUUGCUGUAUUGCCCUCCCAGCAGAUGUCAAGAUGAUUGAAGUCCCCCAUGAGAAACAGCACUUGUGAUUGGGAAGCUUUCACUAGCUGUUUGAAGAAGCCUCAUCCACCGCUUCCUCCUGGUCUGGUGGUCUAUAGCACACACCCAGGACAAUAUUACCCUUGUUGCUCUCCCCUCUAACCUUAACUUAGAGACUUUCACCAGGCCUAUCUCGUUUCAUACUGGAUCUCUGAGCAAUUGUACAUCUCGUACAUACAGUACAAUUCUUCCUCCUCUCCUCCCCUGCCUGUCCUUCCUGAACAGUUUGUACCCGCCCAAGACAGUGCUCCAGUCAUGCGAGCUAUCCCACCAAGUCUCUGUUAUUUCGAGCAUGUCAUAGUUCCGUGACUGGGUGAAGACUUCUAAUUCUUCCUGCUUGUUUUCCAGGCUCUGUGUAUUUGUGUACAAGCACCUGAGGAAAGCAGUCAAUUGCCCUGAUGUCUCAAGACAUAUGAGAACAUCUCCCCUGUCACCCCUCCUGCUUGCUUUUCCUUUAGGUUUCCCGCUUCCCCACCUACCUCAGGACUUUGGUCUCCAUUCCCUGGUAAGCCUAGUUUAAAACCCUCACUAGGUUAGUGAGCCUGCCUGCAAAGAUGUUCUUCCCUCUCUUCAUCAGAUGGAUUUCAUCUCUUCCCAGCACUUCUUUCUCUUGGAAGAGCAUCCUAUGGUCAAAAAAGCCAAAUCCCUGCUGGCAACACCCCCUGUGCAGCAGGUACCUCCUGAAGACUCCUCAAGCAACUGACAGCUUGAAACAGUUGGUAGAUAUCACUACAGAAAAUGAACAUGAUGAAUUCAUCAGUUCAACUGCUUUUUGGGAAUUAGUACGUUCAGUGUUUGAAGAAGUGCUUAGUUGUGAAUCAGAUAUGGCCGAGUAUUUUCUGUCUUAUAUCACUGAUGCUGAAAUCCUUUUUUGACAUUACUAUCGUCUGAGGAGUGGAGCAAAAUUUUAAGAGUGCUUAUCAACUUCCACUGUUAGCAGCUAAGGGAAAUGUCAACUAUCUAGGAUACCUGUCCUUGUAUUACUGGUGAAUGACAACAUGGAGAAUAUGAAAAGGUGCACAUGGCUACAAUAUUUUAAUUUUUGGUGACUGAAAAGACUUACAGCAAACUGCCUCCAGACCAGGUCAUUGAAAUGACCAUGAACAAAGAAUCCAAGAACAAAAGUAGUGGGGGCCAAAUUGGAUUUACCAAGAAUCUAUCCAUGGUUGCAGUCAACAUACUCAGUAAACCACUUAUUAUGCAGUUAAGGGAAAAACUAAAACAGGUGCCUCAUUUCAAGCAACACUUGUAUCGCCAUCCAGAACUGGGUCCACCAAGAAUGGAGAUGGACUGCAAGGUUGCUGAUUCUGUGAAGACAGCUCUGGAAGAAUGGGAUGCGGACCCAUGGGAUCUGCAUCGAUGAAGGUAAUGUGAUGGUGGAAAACAUUUUGGAUAGACUUUCUUCCAGAACUCAGUCAAUAUAUGAAAUUUACAAGGAAAAGUAAAACCUUUGCGACAAAGACAACUGCAACCACGAGCAAGCAAGAGAGUGUAGGAAGAUGGUUGACUAUACUUCAGUGAAACAAGUCACUGACCUUCUAACCAGCAAAAAAAAAGACAACCAUGACUUCAGAAGAAAUCAUGCAAUACAGAAUUACUGCUGAGCUCUUCACAGCAGAUGGAAUAUUCCAGAAACCUGUCAAAUCAAAGUUCAUAACAUCGAUGAACCUCCAGUUGAUCUCACCACCAUCACAUUAUUGUGCAUUAAUAGAUGUUGGAAUGAAAUGGAAUAAAGUCCAAAUAAAGUCCCACCAAGCAACACAUGGUCUAAAUAUAUCCUCAGUUUCUUCAAGUAUGUCGCUGGCUGACACCCUCAAGCAGUGGCAUUUCACUUCAUUAAUGCUGUUUAUGAUGAAGAACUGUUGAAGACUAGUACAAAACAGCACGAGCAGCAGCCUCACUCAAAGCUAUUUGGGUUCCAUUCCUAAUGUCUACCCUCUUUCUGACCAGCAAAUACCUACUGGAGCAUCCUGGCACUCAUUUCUAUCAAAGCAUUCUAAAAAAAUGAGACAAUGUUUCCUCUAGAAUUAAUGGUGUUUUUACUUCCACCACGCCGACCUAUACUUCACAAUUAAUCCAAUCUGUUAGGAUUUAAAAUCCGGAAAACAGAGCGUGCUUUGUAUUGAAAUCUUCAUGUGAGGCUGACAAAAGGGCGUUUUCUCCAUGCACUCUUGAUUUCGAAGACACUUGUUUAUAGGUUGUUGCUUGCUACAUCAGUCACGUAACUAAGCAGAUAUGAACAUGUACAAGAAGAAACCAGGAGACACCAUCAUUCUACUACUGCCAUUCAUUAUUUCCCAAGUGUGAUGUAGCAUCUGCUGCUCUUGGGUCUUACAGAUACAUUGGAGCAGACAGUGGGAGGUUUCUUUGGCUGUGGUAAAGUGACAUCAAUGAAGCAAAUCUUACAGUCAAAAGAUAUGAUGUACAUGGAGACUGCAACAACUUGCAAAAAAAGUGAGAAGCUCACUGAAGAUCCAGUCCAUAAACUGGCUUUGUUCAUUGUGAGAAUACUUUACAAUGCGAGCGAUAGUUCUCCACUAUGAAUGGAGAGAUUCACAACAUGCACAAACUUGUGAUCUAACAAAUUUUGGGUGGACAUCAGUGUUGGAUGUGUUGGAACCUGAUGCAUACUAAAAGUGGACUGCCAAAUAGAAUGAAAUUGCCUCUAACCCAUGAAAAUGGACAUUCAGAUGAGCCAAUUAAAGCUACUGUUCUAGAGUCAUCUGAAGAAGAUAGUGAUACAGAAGAAUACCUAGAUUAAGAAUAUCCAGUGUAUUUCAUAUUACAGACUUGACUUCAAAUUUGAGUUGAAGUGUUUUAUUUUACUUAAAUGUAUUCCAUAAUCAUUUGUACCUUUGUUAUUAAUAAUACUAAAUGUGACUUUGAAGAAAUAAAUGGCAAAACUUUCCACUUGAAACAAGUACUCUUAUUAAGUUGC